rnacentral:rRNA from 1 species
AGUAAGGAAUAUUGGACAAUGGAGGCAACUCUGAUCCAGCCAUGCCGCGUGAAGGAUUAAGGCCCUAUGGGUUGUAAACUUCUUUUAGACGGGACAAAACCCCUUUACGUGUAAAGGGUUGAUGGUACUGUCAGAAUAAGCAUCGGCUAACUUCGUGCCAGCAGCCGCGGUAAUACGAAGGAUGCAAGCGUUAUCCGGAAUUAUUGGGUUUAAAGGGUGCGUAGGCGGACUAAUAAGUCAGUGGUGAAAGCCUGCAGCUUAACUGCAGAAUUGCCGUUGAUACAGUUAGUCUUGAGUACAGUUGAGGUAGGCGGAAUGUGUCAUGUAGCGGUGAAAUGCUUAGAUAUGACACAGAACACCGAUUGCGAAGGCAGCUUGCUAAGCUGUAACUGACGCUGAGGCACGAAAGCGUGGGGAGCAAACAGGAUUAGAUACCCUGGUAGUCCACGCCCUAAACGAUGAUAACUCGCUGUUGGCGAUACACUGUCAGCAGCCAAGCGAAAGCAUUAAGUUAUCCACCUGGGGAGUACGACCGCA